AAACUCCGAGUGCAUGCAGGUCCUCCUCGAGCAUCGUCCAUGUCUCGUGUCCGUAGAGGACCACCGGUCUUAUUAGUGGUCGUAUGCCGCCUUGAAGUCGAUGAACAGGGGUGCGUUGGGACCUGGUAUUCACGGCAUUUCUGGAGGAUUUACCGUACUGUGAAGAUCUGGUGGCAUUCAAAAUGAUGAUCGCUCGAAAGUUCUCACACAUUAUCUUGUCGCCUUUCUUGUGGAAGGGCCAGAUUAUCCCUUCCUUCCACUCCUCUGGUUGCUGUUCGGUUUCCCAGAUCUUGACUACUAACCGGUGCAGACAGGUGGCCAACUUUUCCGGACCCAUCUAGGUGAGUUCUGCUGAGAUGCCGUCCAUAACCAGAAGCAUUGUUGUUUUUGAGCUGGUGGAUGGCAGCCUUAACUUUCCUCAUCGUGGGAUUUCCCGUUCUCUGCUGCACCAACAUAGUUAUUUCCUCCGCUGCUUCGAUCCCCCGUGCCUACAUUCUCUUCGCCAUUCAGGUGCUCGUCAAAGUGCUGCUUCCACUUUUCGAUCUCCUCGUGUUUGUCCGUCAGGAGGCUUCCGUCCUUAUCCCUGCAGAUUUCGGCUUGCGGCACGAAGAGUUCCAUUUCCUCGCAGGCGGCGCUUUUUCUCCCGGAAGAGGCGGGUCUGCUGCUUCCGCUUCUGUCUGUAUUGCUUCACAUUCUGUUGGGUUCCAUGCUGCAGCAUUACCGCACGCGCUGCGUCUUUAUCCUCCAGAACCGCUCUGCACUCCUCGUCAAACCAAUCGUUUCGUCGACUCCGUUCUACGUACCCAAUAGUGCUCCGGCUGCAUUGUUAAUGGCUGCUUUGACUGUACUCCAGCAGUCCUCUAGAGGGGCCACAUCGAGCACACCUUCGUCCGGCAACGCUGCCUCGAGAUUCUGCGCGUAUGCGGUGGCGACAUCCGGUUGCUUUAGUUGCUCUAUAUCGUACCGGGGCGGUCGCCGGUACUGUACAUCGUUAAUAACGGAAAGUUUUGGGCACAGUUUGACCAUCACUAGAUAGUGAUCGGAGUCGAUGUUGGUGCCACGAUAGGUCCUGACGUCGAUAAUGUCGGAGAAUGUUGAAGUAGGCAAUCGGUAACGGUUGCAACUCUUAGCAACGUCCUCGGUUACACAGUUUGUUAAGAAAAUUUCCUAGUUAGAUCUUCUCAAGUUCUGGAGCUGUUCGGACGUAGUCAAUAAACGUUUAUUGUGAAUUCAAGUCUUUUCCUCCGACUUUAAAUCAACCUUAAGUGUUCAUGCAAAGUAAUGGUUGCUCUAAAUACACCAUAUAUCUGCAAUAAGGCUUCAGCACCGUGGUUACUUGGGUAUCCCCAAAAAGUCGAGAAAAUUUCCGACCGGAACGGGAAUCGAACCUGCCGUCUCCGGAUUGGCGGUCCAUAGCCUUAAUCACUAGACUAGCUGAAGACCCCACUUAUUUGUUGUAGUGUAGAAUUAGCUUAAAAUAAAAUACAUAUAAAUAAAAUAAACUUGUUUGUUGUGCAAAUAAAUCAACCAAAAACGACCAAAGAUUUGAUUGAAAUCAGAGUUAAAAAACAAAACUAUAUAAUUCGUGGUUCAAAUCAGGGUUCAGCCAAAUUUCAAAUAUAAUAAUACUAAUCUACGAUUCAAUACGGUUAAAACAAAUCUAGAUGUAAUUCCAUAAACAAUAAAUUAUUCUCCUGUUUGCACAAAUAUUUCAAGUAUACCUACUUGAUUAAUUGAAUUUAAAAUGCUUACAUGAUUUGUUCUGUUUUACACCAGAAUACCAUAAAAUAUACAAUAAGGUUAGAAAUCCCUAAAAUAGUUCUAGCAAGUCCUCAGUUGGCCCCGAAGUGAAAAUAAACGAGGAAUAUAUGUUGUAAGGAAUAAUUGAUAAAGUUCAAGGCAAUCAUUAGUCGGGGCGAAAGUUCUUUGACAAUAACAAAAUGGCUGGUAUUAAUCACAAUUCCUAAAAAAUGUUUCGUUAAUUUAAGUAGUUCUAUAAGAGCUGUGAUCUUACGACAACAGUUCUUAGUAUAAGCCAAAUAACAAAAAAUAUUUUCAUAAAAAAAAUCAGAAUUGCUCCGUGAAGUUCUAUAACAACUGUGAUCUUACGACAAUAAUUCGUAACCCAAGCCAAAUUACAAAAAUAAUAAAAACAAAAAAAUAAUCAGUAUUGCUCCAAUAAGUUCUAUGAGAAGUGUGAUCUUGCCACAACAAUUCAUAGCUCAAAUCAAAUAUCCAACAAAUAAAUCAAUUCUUAGCACAAAUAAAUUUUCAAAAAUAUUUCAAUAAAUUAAUCAGAAUUACUCCAAGGAGAUCCAUAAGAACUGCGAUCUUACGACAACAAUCCUUAUAAAUAAAUAUGUUUUAAUAAAAAUAAAAAAAAAAAUACAAUAAAUUAAUCAGACUAGCACAAUUCUCAACCCAAAUAAAAUUUCAAAAAUUAUUUCAAAAAUUUAAUCAGAUUUGCUCCAAGAAGGUCUAUGAGAACAGCGAUCUUACGACAACAAUUCUUUUCAUAAAUAAUAUUUCAAAAAAUAUUUCAAUAAAUCAGAAACGCUCUAAGGAGAUCUAUGAGAGCGGCGAUCUUACGACAACAAUUGUUAUAAAUGAACAUUUUUUAAUAAAAUUGAAAAAAAAAUAUUUAAAUAAAUUAAUCAGACUAGCUCCAGGGAGAUCUAUGAGAACUGCGAUCUUACGACAACAAUUCUUAGCACAAAUACAUUUUCAAAAAAUUUUUCAAUAAAUUAAUCAAAAUCACUCCAAGGAGAUCCAUAAGAACUGUGAUCUUACGAUAACAAUUUUUAUAAAUGAAUAUGUUCUAGUAAAAUUAAAAAAAAUAUUUCAAUAAAUUAAUCAGACUAGCUCCAAGGAGAUCUAUGAGAACUGCGAUCUUACGACAACAAUUCUUAGCACAAAAAAAUUUUCAAAAAAUAUUUCAAUAAAUUAACCAAAUCACUCCAAGGAGAUCCAUAAGAACUGCGAUCUUACGACAACAAUUCUUAUAAAUAAAUAUUUUUUUAAUAAAAUGAAAAAAAAAAUUCAAUUAAUUAAUCAGACUAGCUCCAAGGAGAUGUAUGAGAACUGCGAUCUUACGACAACAAUUCUUAGCACAAAUAAAUUUUCAAAAAAUAUUUCAAUAAAUUAAUCAGAAUCACUCCAAGGAGAUCCAUAAGAACUGCAAUCUUACGAUAACAAUUCUUAUAAAUAAAUAUGUUUUAAUAAAAUUUAAAAAAAAUCAAUAAAUUAAUCAGACUAGCUCCAAGAAGAUCUUUGAGAACUGCGAUCUUACGACAACAAUCUUAGCACAAAUAAAUUUUCAAAAAAUAUUUCAAUAAAUUAAUCAGAAUUACUCCAAGGAGAUCCAUAAGAACUGCGAUCUUACGACAACAAUUCUUAUAAAUAAAUAUGUUUUAAUAAAAUGGCUUCGUGGUCGUGUGGCUAAGGUCACCAAGUCUUUAGUCGCAUCGUGCUAAGGAGCGCGGGUUCGAUUCCCGCCGCAGCUGUCAGGAAAAGUUUUCGGCUGUGCCACUGGGCGUUGCAUGCUAGUCCGUUGUCUAGUGUCGUGCUUCCUUCAAAUAGCAAACAGCUCACUGGAAGCAUUAAACGUGUCUGUGUCUUUAAAAAAAAAAAGAAAAAAAUACAAUAAAUUAAUCAGACUAGCACAAUUCUCAACCCAAAUAAAAUUUCAAAAAUUAUUUCAAUAAUUUAAUCAGAUUUGCUCCAAGGAGGUCUAUGAGAACUGCGAUCUUACGACAACAAUUCUUUUCAUAAAUAAUAUUUCAAAAAAUAUUUCAAUAAAUCAGAAACGCUCCAAGGAGAUUUAUGAGAGCGGCGAUCUUACGACAACAAUUCUUAUAAAUGAAUAUUUUUUAAUAAAAUUAAAAAAAAUAUUUCAAUAAAUUAAUCAGAUUAGCUCCAGGGAGAUCUAUGAGAACUGCGAUCUUACGACAACAAUUCUUAGCACAAAUAAAUUUUCAAAAAAUAUUUCAAUAAAUUAAUCAGAAUCACUCCAAGGAGAUCCAUAAGAACUGCGAUCUUACGACAACAAUUCUUAUCAUUAAUAAAAUUAAAAAAAAAAAUUCAAUAAAUAAAUCAAACUAGCUCCAGCCAAGGAGAUCUAUGAGAACUGCGAUCUUACGACACUAAUUCUUAGCACAAAAAAUGUUUCAAAACAUGCUUCAAUAAAUUAAUCAGACUCGCUUCAAGGAGAUCUGUGGGAACUGCGAUCUUACGACAACAAUUCUUAUAAAUAAAUAUUUUUUAAUAAGAUUAAAAAAAAAUUCAAUGAAUUAAUCAGACUAGCUCCAUGGAGAUCUUUGAGAACUGCGAUCUUACGACAACAAUUCUUAGCACAAAUAAAUUUUCAAAAAAUAUUUCAAUAAAUUAAUCAGAAUCACUCCAAGGAGAUCCAUAGGAACUGCGAUCUUACGACAACAAUUCUUAUAAAUAAAUAUUUUUUAAUAAAA